rnacentral:rRNA from 1 species
CGAACGGGUGAGUAACACGUAGGUAACCUACCCUCGAGUGGGGGAUAACCAUUGGAAACGAUGGCUAAUACCGCAUAAAGUCCCGACAACUCCUGUUGUUGGGAUGAAACCUCCGGUGCUCGAGGGUGGACCUGUGGUGGAUUAGGAAGUUGGUGAGGUAACGGCUCACCAAUCCUGCGAUCCAUAGCUGGUCUGAGAGGAUGAUCAGCCACACUGGCACUGAGACACGGGCCAG